AGGGAAUAUUGGACAAUGGGCGCAAGCCUGAUCCAGCAAUGCCGCGUGUGUGAAGAAGGUCUUCGGAUUGUAAAGCACUUUCGGCGGGGACGAUGAUGACGGUACCCGCAGAAGAAGCCCCGGCUAACUUCGUGCCAGCAGCCGCGGUAAUACGAAGGGGGCUAGCGUUGCUCGGAAUGACUGGGCGUAAAGGGCGCGUAGGCGGACUGGUCAGUCAGAUGUGAAAUUCCUGGGCUUAACCUGGGGGCUGCAUUUGAGACGGCUGGUCCAGAGUUUGGAAGAGGGUCGUGGAAUUCCCAGUGUAGAGGUGAAAUUCGUAGAUAUUGGGAAGAACACCGGUGGCGAAGGCGGCGACCUGGUCCUUGACUGACGCUGAGGCGCGAAAGCGUGGGGAGCAAAC
rnacentral:rRNA from 1 species